GGGGGUAUAGCUCAGUGGUAGAACAUUCGAAUGCAGAUCGAGAGGUCCCCGGAUCAAAACCGGGUUCCCCUU